AAAAUAUUUUAUAAAAACUGUUUUUGGUACCUCUUUCUGGAAAAAUCACGUUACACAUUUUUUUGUUUGGUGAAAAAAUUACUAAUUUAGAUUACUGAUAUUUUAUAUAAAUAUUAUCCUUAGGCAUUUAGCAUUAUUCACACAAAAAAUAAGACUUUAAAAGUUUUAUUUAAUAGACAUAUAGAGGCGCUUAUUAAUAAUAGACAGGUGAGUAUUGUCUGGCCAGGCAUUGACUGGCCAAAAUCAUACAUUCAUUUGCAAACUAACAAAAGCAUCCAAAACAAAUAAAAAUUUAUUAAUAUUAGACAAUCAUUGUUCACAUUGCUCACUAAGAUCAAUAGAUUUUUGCAGAGACAAUGGAAUAAUCCUGCUCACCCUACCACCACAAUGCUCCCACAACAUUGACAAUUGGAUGAGAAACCAUGUAGGCAAAUCAUUUACCAUAUAUGAAAUACCAUCAAUUAUUAAAAUGGAGCUUCCUAAAGCUACAACCCCCAAAAAUAUUCAGAAUGGAUUUUUAGCCUGUGGGAUAUAUCCCUUCAACCCUGAUAUAUUCUCUGAAUAUAGUUAUUUAAUAUCUAAUGAUGAUAUGUCAGAAUUAUCCAAUAUUCCUCUGACAGUGAGAAAAUUAGCUUAUUGUGAUCCUGAAAAUGAUACAAUAAAUUCCACUCUUAGCCCUAUGCCUACCACUUCUGAUAAUGAGUUAUGCUUAACAUCAUGUCAUCAGCCCAAUAAUAAUUUGAAUUCACAAUCUAUUCUAUCACAUCCAAUUUUAUAUAGCAAUAAUAUUAUCAAAAAAGACAAGAGGAGAAAGAAAUCAGAAAUUUUAACCUCAUCACCUUAUAAAAAACAUAAAUUAACAAAUAUUUAAAAAAACAAUAUAAAAAAAUCUAAAGAAAACUAAUGAUGAGUGGCUUUGCAUAAUAUGCAAGAGGGCAUAUUCAAAGAGCAAGAAAGGUGAAGAGUGGAUUAAAUGCCUGCAAUGUGAAGAAUGGGCCCAUACUCAAUGUACUAAUAACAAUGAUUUAUUUGUUUGUUAUGUAUAUAAAGAUACUAUAAUUGUUUCAUUUAUAAAUUAAUAAAAUGGCUUUCAUUAUU